GGUUAAGCGACUAAGCGUACACGGUGGAUGCCCUGGCAGUCAGAGGCGAUGAAGGACGUGCUAAUCUGCGAUAAGCGCCGGUAAGGUGAUAUGAACCGUUAUAACCGGCGAUUUCCGAAUGGGGAAACCCAGUGUGAUUCGUCACACUAUCAUUAACUGAAUCCAUAGGUUAAUGAGGCGAACCGGGGGAACUGAAACAUCUAAGUACCCCGAGGAAAAGAAAUCAACCGAGAUUCCCCCAGUAGCGGCGAGCGAACGGGGAGGAGCCCAGAGUCUGAAUCAGCAUGUGUGUUAGUGGAAGCGUCUGGAAAGGCGCGCGAUACAGGGUGACAGCCCCGUACACAAAAGCGCAUGUGCUGUGAGCUCGAUGAGUAGGGCGGGACACGUGGUAUCCUGUCUGAAUAUGGGGGGACCAUCCUCCAAGGCUAAAUACUCCUGACUGACCGAUAGUGAACCAGUACCGUGAGGGAAAGGCGAAAAGAACCCCGGCGAGGGGAGUGAAAAAGAACCUGAAACCGUGUACGUACAAGCAGUGGGAGCACAGGUUUACCUGUGUGACUGCGUACCUUUUGUAUAAUGGGUCAGCGACUUAUAUUCUGUAGCAAGGUUAACCGUAUAGGGGAGCCGAAGGGAAACCGAGUCUUAAC
rnacentral:rRNA from 1 species